rnacentral:rRNA from 1 species
GGGAAUUGUUCGCAAUGGGCGCAAGCCUGACGACGCAACGCCGCGUGGAGGAUGAAGAUCUUCGGGUCGUAAACUCCUUUCGAUCGAGACGAAUUCCUCCGGGGUGAACAAUCCCGGAGGUUGACGGUACCGAGAGAAGAAGCCCCGGCUAACUCCGUGCCAGCAGCCGCGGUAAUACGGGGGGGGCAAGCGUUGUUCGGAAUUACUGGGCGUAAAGGGCUCGUAGGUGGCCAACUAAGUCAGACGUGAAAUCCCCAGGCUCAACUUGGGAACUGCGUCUGAUACUAGCUGGCUUGAAUUCGGGAGAGGGAUGCAGAAUUCCAGGUGUAGCGGUGAAAUGCGUAGAUAUCUGGAGGAAUACCGGUGGCGAAGGCGGCAUCCUGGACCGAGAUUGACACUGAGGAGCGAAAGCUAGGGGAGCAAA